UAUUAAAAAUUUCAUCUAUUUGUAUUGUUAGAAACUAACAUGAUUGGUAGAAUAAUUAUAUAAUGACAUGUCAUGUGUACGUUAUGCUGACAUAAAAUAACCAGUUUUUAAUAGUAAAAAUUGAUGAAAGUUUUAAUA
rfam:Gossypium arboreum cultivar AKA8401 contig_25074_1, whole genome shotgun sequence.